UACGGAGGGUGCAAGCGUUAUCCGGAUUCACUGGGUUUAAAGGGUGCGUAGGCGGAUAGGUAAGUCCGUGGUGAAAUCCUGCAGCUUAACUGCAGACUGCCGUGGAUACUAUCUAUCUUGAAAUGUCGUGGAGGUUAGCGGAAUAUGUCAUGUAGCGGUGAAAUGCUUAGAUAUGAACAUAGAACACCCAUUGCGAAGGCAGCUAACUACGCGAUAAUUGACGCUG
rnacentral:rRNA from 1 species